UAUAAAAAAGCAUCUUUUUUUCCCCUAGCUUAUUUGUUUUAUCCAGGGAAUUUGCGGUAACUGUUGGGAAACAUUGCAUGCCUGGUAGCGCGUAGCUGACUUUUCUCAAAGAUUUACGGUAUGACCUUAGAUAAGAAGUAAGCUGUGUAUGUGUGGAGUUUAGUGCUUGUGCUUUAAUUAACAGCAGGUGUUGUGCUCAAUAAUAGCCUGGGAAAUGAUAUUGUUUUGAGACACUUCGUUGUGAGACACUUUUGAUGUUUGUGGGACACCUAUCUUGUUUUGAUAUGUGUGGGGCACCUGUCUUGUAAACAAGUGUGCUAUAUGAGAGGACUGCUGCCCUAGUAAAAUGAAGCUAUUUGAGCUCACACUGAGUUGCUGCUUCCCACGUGGGUGCGCGGGGGUUUGUCUUUUCACUUUGCUGACUGUCGGGGUGACCCUGUGUCCAAGUGUUUUCCUACAGUAACAAUUUCCUAUUCCAUACAGAAAACAUAAAUGCAUCACUUAAGGACUUUGAAAAAGAGGAUCCAGCCUCCUGGGGACAGACUAGACCACAACAUACUUUCCUUUUGAGUAAUAAUGCAUAUGGAGCAUGGAGGUCAGUGUGGACACUCUCCAGAAGCUCACUAGGUGACUGCAAAUGUGUGGAGUACCAUGGCAGAGUUUACAUUGCGACCAGUUACCAAAGCUAUUUCAAACAUCACUGUCCUGUAUUGCAAUCUUCUCUAGACUUAUCUUUAGUAAUGCAUCUCCUUGAUGCAACAGCAUUGUUACUGGCCCAUUGUCUUUAGGUGAAUCCUUACAACAUGAGGGGUGAAUCAAUGUCAGUGUAGCCUCCUGUUUGCUUAGUACUGUAUUUACUGUGUGGAGAAAAGGACUAGUGUUCUGGUCAUGCCUGCCAUAAUUGUAAUUACUUGACGUAGUUUUACUGAGCAAAGUUUACUCCAAGUUUCUUGAUCUGAAAACACUCUUUUCAUGUGCUCAUAAGAUGAGCACAUCUUAUUCAGUAAGAGUUUCAUUACUAAAGCAGUAGAUUCAGUAGUCAUGGAUUUGAUGAAGACCAGUGCUGUCUAAAAGACAAGUUGUAUGCUUUAGCAAAAUGUGUUUAUCAACUUAACGUCUGUACUGUUUCCAGAAUGUUGAGAAGUAUACUGAGUAUCUUGAUGAAAUGAAUUUGUAUAAUGAGAAAAGAAUAUCAGUAUGGUACUGUUUAAUUAACAACAACGAAGAAGACAAAAAAAAAAUUUUCCUCCAGAUAUGACCCAAUUUCCACUUUUGGAGUAGAUGGCAGAUAUUUUAAAUGGGUGCUGUAGUUUUUAUGCUGAUGUAUUAGCUGAUUACUUAAAGAAUGCGUUCAUUCAUAUGAUACAUUCCAUUGCUUUGUCAUGUUUUGUCAAUUUGAGUUGACUUAUAAUGUGUGCUGUGUAACAUGAUGUGAUACCACAUCAUUUGACAUAAAUUGGCAUAAUAUAAUUUAGCAGGUUAGAAAAGUAAGGUAAACAAAAUUGUGUCUGUGAUGAAAUUCAUGUUGCUCAUUUGAGGAAAUGUGAAAAAUUUUUGCUGUAGAAUAAAAGUAUAUUACAAAUUACA
rnacentral:lncRNA from 1 species